GCAGCAGGAGGGUUCAAAGGUUCACUUCAAGUCCCUUGUUUAGUAUUUACAAGCACCACUUAUUGCUUUAUUACGCUAUGAAGUACUUUUAAUGGACACAAGGACAAACGUGCAUUUUAGUAAAGGUGCACGAUUCAUUUCAGUUGCCUCUCAACGGCUCUCAGCAUGGCAGCUCGUAGCAGCGAAGUGCUAACGGGAGCUAACGUGGAACUGAAUAAAAGGCACCUCCACUGACCUGCAGCUGACGUUAUGAAAUACAUCUGGUCGUUGUGUCUACAGCAGAACUCAAAUCUCCUCAUAUUCAAUUCUCAGUGUGUCAGAAAUCAACUCACUGCGAAUGAUCGGAUGUAAAAGUUGAUCUGUAAGUCUGAAUGUUCUCCCUGGAUUUGGGGUUUGGGUUAGUCGAUCACGGAGCCAAAUCCUCUUCCUCACCCUCGCAGCGCAGUCUGAUCUGGUCAUGUCCGCACUCGGUGAAGAGCAGAAAGCUUUUCCAGCUCCUGUCUCCAAAGUGAAGACCACGGGACCGAGAGGUCGGCGUCUCGUGCUCCUUCAUCAGACACAAAGAAAUGCACUUAACUUUUCAGUCGCCUCAAAGCCAGUUCAAGGCUUCGACGGCUCAGCAGUCGGGACGAGCAGGAUGAAUUAAUAUCUCUUGUUCCUCUGUAAUCCCAAUGAGCAAAGUGAUGGAGAGGAGGAAGUCCUACACGUCGGAGGAAGAGUACGAGCAGUGUGCGGUUUGUCACUUCAGGGGAGUAAACGUCUCGUUGAAGUUGAACAGAUGUGUUUCCUGGUCUGACUGCUCCACUGGACAAGGAUCAUAAACCAACACGAAAGGCUCGUGCAGCGAACAGUGUUCAACUCACACCUCGACUAUCGAUUGUUACUCGACAGGAGAAAAAUAUCCAGCGGUGCUUCAGAUUGAUUCAUCAGAAGAGUCACUUUGAGGAACGGAUCAAAUGAACCCGACACGGAUGUUCUCCCAUCUUCUGUAACCACGACUCACUCCUCCAUCCUUCUCAGUUAGAUCUUUAAUACGGGACGUGGGACAUCGCAGCAGGGGGCCGUGUUGCACUCGCUUUCACCGUCACCGUGGUGACGAAAGGAGAGCGGCGCCGGAAGGCAAAGCUCUCGAUGUACCGGUCGAUCUUCGUUCCCACCUUCACCUCUGGCCCUGAAGGAGUCAUGAAAUAGGUCCAAUGCUGGGAGAUGGUCCGCUGAGGGAGGGGGGUUACAGGUAUACAUGGUGAAGUGGAUGUUAACCUAAGUGUGGUACAUUAAGGGACAAAAUCUUCCUUUUCUCUUUGUGGAUUUGGCAGAACUCGUAUACUUGGUAACUGUGUAAAUGCACUCGUGCAGACAGAAGAGUCCGGAGGUCCAAUCACCUUCUCACAACAUCACCUGACAAUAAAUACACAUCCAUGUGUGCUGACAGCCCAACACACAUAUUCUGCCCAACUGUCUCCACUGGUGUUCAUUACACGUUACAUUACCACACGUAUGUGAAGAGGAGCUUACUCACUGAUGAGCUCCAGUUUGAACGUAUUCAGGAUGCAGAAGGUGAACGAAGGUCAUGCAACGUAUUUCAGAGUGGAAGUAAUGCAACCAUCCAACGCUCUGAAGAAAGUAUCGCAACCAUCCAACGCUCUGAAGAAAGUAACGCCACCAUCCAACGCUCUGAAGAAAGUAACGCAACCAUCCAACGCUCUGAAGAAAGUAACGCAACCAUCCAACGCUCUGAAGAAAGUAACGCAACCAUCCAACGCUCUGAAGAAAGUAACGCAACCAUCCAACGCUCUGAAGAAAGUAACGCAACCAUCCAACGCUCUGAAG
ensembl:lncRNA